rnacentral:rRNA from 1 species
UCUUUCCUCCCGAGUGCUUGCACUCAAUUGGAAAGAGGAGUGGCGGACUGGUGAGUAACACGUGGGUAACCUACCCAUCAGAGGGGGAUAACACUUGGAAACAGGUGCUAAUACCGCAUAACAGUUUAUGCCGCAUGGCAUAAGAGUGAAAGGCGCUUUCGGGUGUCGCUGAUGGAUGGACCCGCGGUGCAUUAGCUAGUUGGUGAGGUAACGGCUCACCAAGGCCACGAUGCAUAGCCGACCUGAGAGGGUGAUCGGCCACACUGGGACUGAGACACGGCCCAGACUCCUACGGGAGGCAGCAGUAGGGAAUCUUCGGCAAUGGACGAAAGUCUGACCGAGCAACGCCGCGUGAGUGAAGAAGGUUUUCGGAUCGUAAAACUCUGUUGUUAGAGAA